rnacentral:rRNA from 1 species
GACGAACGCUGGCGGCGUGCUUAACACAUGCAAGUCGAACGGAAAGGCCCUGCUUUUGUGGGGUGCUCGAGUGGCGAACGGGUGAGUAACACGUGAGUAACCUGCCCUUGACUUUGGGAUAACUUCAGGAAACUGGGGCUAAUACCGGAUAGGAGCUCCUGCUGCAUGGUGGGGGUUGGAAAGUUUCGGCGGUUGGGGAUGGACUCGCGGCUUAUCAGCUUGUUGGUGGGGUAGUGGCUUACCAAGGCUUUGACGGGUAGCCGGCCUGAGAGGGUGACCGGCCACAUUGGGACUGAGAUAAGGAUCAGACGCCUACGGGAGGCAGCAGUGGAGAAUAUUGCACAAUGGGCGGAAGACUGAUGCAGCAACGCCGCGUGCGGGAUGACGGCCUUCGGGUUGUAAACCGUUUUCGCCUGUGACGAAGCGUGAGUGACGGUAAUGGGUAAAGAAGCACCGGCUAACUACGUG